rnacentral:rRNA from 1 species
AGAGUUUGAUCCUGGCUCAGGACGAACGCUGGCGGCGCGCUUAACACAUGCAAGUCGAGCGAGAACCAGCCCUUCGGGGCUGGGGAAAGCGGCGAACGGGUGAGUAACACGUGGGUAAUCUGCCCUCGGCACUGGGAUAGCCCGGGGAAACCCGGAUUAAUACCGGAUGGCCUUUCGAGUCCUCGGACUCGUCAGAAAAGGUGGCUUCGGCUUCCGGCUGAGGAUGAGCCCGCGGCGGAUUAGCUUGUUGGUGGGGUAACGGCCCACCAAGGCGACGAUCCGUAGCUGGUCUGAGAGGACGAUCAGCCACACUGGGACUGAGACACGGCCCAGACUCCUACGGGAGGCAGCAGUGGGGAAUCUUGCGCAAUGGGCGAAAGCCUGACGCAGCGACACCGCGUGCGGGAAGAAGGCCUUCGGGUUGUAAACCGCUUCCAGGAGGGACGAAGCCACUCGGGUUAAUAGCCCAGAGGGUGACGGUACCUCCAGAAGAAGCCCCGGCUAACUACGUGCCAGCAGCCGCGGUAAUACGUAGGGGGCAAGCGUUGUCCGGAUUUAUUGGGCGUAAAGAGCGUGUAGGCGGCCAGGUAGGUCCGCUGUGAAAACUCGAGGCUCAACCUCGAGAUGUCGGCGGAAACCAUCUGGCUAGAGUCCGGAAGAGGAGAAUGGAAUUCCCGGUGUAGCGGUGAAAUGCGCAGAUAUCGGGAAGAACACCCGUGGCGAAAGCGGUUCUCUGGGACGGUACUGACGCUGAGACGCGAAAGCGUGGGGAGCGAACAGGAUUAGAUACCCCCGUAGUC